GUUCAGUAAAAACAAUAUGAACACAUUCACUGAAACACAAAGUCGGUGUCCACCACACGCUGUCGGCUUCAAGUCUCUCAAGUUGGCAUGUCCACCACCAAAUCCAGGUCUCCACUCUCAACCUUGUUUUCGUGAGCUAUCUCCUGCAUCAAGCACAGGUUGGUAGUAAUUGUAAUAACAAAUGAAAUAUAUAACGUCAGCACCAGAGAAUAAUCAGUCUGGGCUACCGUAGAUAACUCCAUCAGUCGUAAAAGGUAAAGUUGAUCAUACAAUAUCAGCGGUGACAUCAGAAGUUUGUGAAAUCGGAAGAUAUUUCCCGUAAGACACAUUUUGCGCACCAAAUAGUACGCGUUUGUUUCUUGUCUCUCAGAUCCUAUCCUGCGCGCUUAACAUAUGGUUACGUAGAGAAUGGUUUCCAGGUAACUUGAUAAUGCGUAAGUACAGUAUAGGUAGAUUCAUAGUACAUAAGUACAGUAUAGGUAGCUUCAUAGUACAUAAGUACAGUAUAGGUAGUUUCAAAGUACAUAAGUAUAGUAUAGGUAUGUUCAUAGUACAUAAGUACAGUAUAGGUAGCUUCAUAGUACGUAAGUACAGUAUAGGUAGCU